UCUUUUGGCUUGAACUUGGUCAAACCUUAUCACUUAGAGGAAGGAGAAGUCGUAACAAGGUUUCCGUAGGUGAACCUGCGGAAGGAUCA
rnacentral:rRNA from 1 species